GGCGUGUGCACCACACUGUUUGGUGCUGAGACUCAGACUCGACCUGACCCAAUGAGACCCCCUCAGCUGUGGGAAGCACAGUCAACUACACAUAAUUCCAGCAUCACCUUGGAUGAGAUGGCGGUAGCAGCUGAAUGAACCUUUCCUCUGGAGCUGAAUAUGCCAAUCUGGACUGAAACCUGGGAUCCUCUGAAGAACCUCGCCAGUGAAGCUCCUAUCUGUGCCCUUUCUGUUUGUCUGUACAUCUGCAUGUCUGUCUUAUGUUUGUCUGUUUGUUGCUGUGCAUGCACACUUCUCUCUUCACCUUUGUUUGCAUGUUCUCGUCUGUCCAUAAAAGUAAACAGAGCCAUAAGAGUCUGAUAAAAAGGUAAGGCACUAAACUUUUAGGCAGUCCUGCCUUUCAGUUCCUCCAACAGGUAUGUGACAUGAGACACCACAACAAGCAGUGCUGGUCAUGGCAGGACGCUCAUAAGGUGGAGUUUCGGUCACCAACCAUCUGACGACCUCCGUGAUGUGGGACCAUUUGCUGCUGUACCACCUCCAGAUACUCAUAAAGGAAGUAUUGAAGGGACUUGGCUUUCUCUCCCUCUCUCUCACUGCCUAUCUGUUCAACAUGCCCAUCUAUUCUGUGUUAGUCUUGUGUCCUACUGGGGGUGAAGUUCAGUCGUUAACCAUCUGCCUCAUGCCCCUCAUCUGUUUACCAGGUCGCAUACAGUCAGUGUAUCACGCAUUUUAAUAGUCCUGCACUGCUUUGGUUACUGGGGUAAACUCUGCCUGUUACUCUGUGCCCACUUUAUACUUUGACACAUUAGCUUAAUUGUCUGUCCCACUGUUUGGGACACUGGCUUUCUCUACUGCUGUUCAGCCCAUAGAUAAUCUGUUAGAAUACAUGUAAAAUCUUUUUUUGACACAAUAUUUUGUCAAGUUAAACGUUAGAUUAGAUAAACUGGAAUAUUUUUUUUUUUUUCUCACAAACAGUACUAUGUAUCUUUAAAUGCUGUUAUAGAGAUUUGUUUUAAAAACAGUUUAUUGUACUUUAGCAUUAGGCCUCUGGGUCAUCUCGCUCUGCCAAGUUUCAAGAGGGAGUCUCGCGCUUCAACUAGGCCCGGUGAGGUUAGAGUUCAGGUUUUCGUAUUAGAUUUUCCGGAUGUUGGGAGGCCUCCCAGCAGGAGAAUUUAUCCCACUCCUGCAAAGCGUUAUGCCACUGAUGCGGGGAUACUUUAGACAGUUUAUUUACAUUGUUGUCGGACCUGGUUUACGCGGUACCAGCUGGGGGUGCGUUUGGGUUGUUGGGAGGGAGCCUGGCAGAGAUAGAUGACUUUAUAAAAAAAGCGUGUGUACACCCAUUUUGGGUGGAUUUUCCCUAUUGUCUGUGACAACAACAGCAGUGAUACUAUGAAGCCUGAUUGUCAACUACACAGGUUUACACCAUAUUGAACGUAUUACUGAGUUUUACUCUUAACUUUCUUAUAGCAAGAUUAUACUGUGGGCUGAACUGUCUCAAGGCUAACAGACUUUGUAUGGAAGGAACUAAGCUUUGCAGGGACAGUACCUCAGUUAUUAAAAUGAAAAUUGGCCCUUUGCAGUACAUCAUGUCUUUCUUAGCUUAGCAGCAUGAAUUAGCUUGUCCUCUUUUCCAACUCCACAUAUUCCUACACAAUGUACACUGAUGGUGUUUUCUAAGAUGAGACAUACAUUAGAAGUGAGAGAGUAGGGAGCCAACAUGGGAGACAGUUGUAGUGUCAAAUCAGUGAUAGUUACUGUCUUUUGGAAACAUUACAGGUUGUGUUUCUUAUUAAAUCAGUGCAGAGUAACAGUCAGUUCUAGGGUUAAGGAAGCCAGGGCUGCUCCACACUACAGAGAAUGAGGCCAACUGAGUCGACUCAUCAUAAGAGGUUUUUCCUCCUUCCCCUUCUUCUCAGUGUGUGAAGGAGUCCGAGCUUUCAAGUUAUGGUGUGCCAUGGUUGUGCAUAUUCCAAAACCAGACAAGGAUCCCUCUGGUUUUGUGAAUCGGCUGACAUGGUAUGCUGUUAUGAUCCUACUAAGAGAUGCGCUGUACAAUUGAUAUGUUUAAGGUAGAUUUGGUGAGACAGAGCCAGCUGUGACUAUCACAGUUCAAGAUGAGGAUGCACAGAGUAGACCUGACUUGAUAAAGGC